ACUCCAACACCUGAUAAAGACUCAUGUAUGCAAAAUGUAACCUAGACAUGGCUAAAUCCUAGUCUAUAUGAUCAAAAUGCACAUGGAUGAAUGGAUAAGAUAAUGAAAAUAUGCAAGAUAUCAAGUACACACAUGCAGAACAACAUUCCGGAGGGUCUACUUCAGUUUCACAUCAAAAAGGACUUUUACACAAUGCAGUUGCAGACACAAAGCGAGGAGACAAAUAUAAAACGAAUAUCAACCGCUAUACUACUUAGUUUUAUCGAAUAGACUAUGUGACCAAACACUAAUUACCACUCAAACAC
rnacentral:lncRNA from 1 species